ensembl:lncRNA
CUGAUGUGGAGACAAAAUGGACUGACUGGCAGCAGAGGAGCUAGUUUCCUGAUCCCCCCUUCAAAUGGAACAAGAACCUGUAUUUCUGCAACUGUAUUUUCAUUUGUCUUCAGACACCUUUAAUCGAUGAGUCAGCAGGUUUGCUGUGUCUGCUGGUCAGAGCCCAGAACUCAGCUUCUGAAACGUGGGAAGGCAGUCUCCAGUUGAGCCCACUCAACAGGCAAAGAGAGACACAUCCCUCUCCUACACUGUGAAACAGCCCCUCCUAACAGAGCAAAAAUGCUUCUGGAAAAAAAGGACUGCAGUUUGCAAAAUUGAAUCUGGG